rnacentral:rRNA from 1 species
UACGUAGGAUGCAAGCGUUGUCCGGAAUUAUUGGGCGUAAAGAGCGAGCAGGCGGUUCGUCAAGUCAGAAUGUGAAAUAUCCCGGCUUAACGGGAGGGGCCAUUUGAAACUGACGGACUAGAGUGGAGCAGAGGACAGUGGAAUUCCCGGUGUAGUGGUGAAAUGCGUAGAUAUCGGGAGGAACACCAGUGGCGAAGGCGACUGUCUGGGCUGCACCUGACGCUGAGCCGCGACAGCGUGGGGAGCAAACAGG